rnacentral:rRNA from 1 species
CAUGCAAGUCAAGGAGAACGGGGAUCUUCGGAAUCCCUAGUAAACUGGCGAACGGGUGAGUAACACGUAGGUAACUUACCCAUAGGACUGGGAUAACCCUACUAACGUGGGGCUAAUACCGGAUAAUAUUUCUUUAUCGCAUGAUGGAGGAAUCAAAGCUGCCUUUGGGUAGCACCUAAGGAUGGACCUGCGCCCCAUUAGCUAGUUGGUAGGGUAAUGGCCUACCAAGGCGACGAUGGGUAGCCGGCCUGAGAGGGUGACCGGCCACACUGGGACUGAGAUACGGCCCAGACUCCUACGGGAGGCAGCAGUGAGGAAUAUUGCGCAAUGGGCGAAAGCUUGACGCAGCAACGCCGCGUGGAUGAUGAAGCUCUAAGGAGUGUAAAGUCCUGUUAGAAGGGAAGAACAACUUUCAGUCGAAUAGAAUGAAGGUU